rnacentral:lncRNA from 1 species
CACGAGCCUUUUGAGUAUGCAGAACACAUCGGCUCAGCCUAAAGCUGGCAGUUGGUGCACACACACACACACACACAUCGCUUUCCCCUCAAGUGAAGCGGCAUGAGCAUGAGCAAUCGCAGUAUCUCCUGUUUCCGGAGCUGAGACCGGCAGCCUCUGCCUGAUUUAUUGAAGGAGCAAGAGGAUCCCAGUUUCCGCGCUAACACGCAGCUGUCACAUCUAGUUGGAGACAGCCACUUCUUCCCAGCUGUUUACCUGCUCUGGCAAGAAGGCACCCUAUUCCAAAAGCGAGUAGGCUGGAGGAGGAGUCUGCAUGGUGCUUGCUGCAGGUAAAACCAGUUUUUAGUUCUCUUUUCUAACCAGCCAACCACCUCACCUACUUACAGGUAGGUGCUUGCAGUUUCUUCUUUACAUAUGGAAAAUCUUUGUUGCAAUAUUCAUUUUAACUGAGAAAGUCUUUUUCACUGUGUGAGACGCAGCAGAGAGGGACUUCAGAGUUCAGCAGUGAUUCUUCUGAUUAAAGUUUUAGUGCAUAUGGUAAUUCCAGGUCUCCCUCCAGUCUUUCAAAGUAGACAGCAAAUUUGAGACUCGUCCUCAUUUUGUGAUUCGCAGGCAAUUUGACAGUUAGCCUAAGUGCAUGAGUCUAACCUUUGAGUUAGUUGACAAUUGUAAUGGAACUCUGCACAUGUAAUAUAAAGAGCUUUAAAUAUUUUCCUACUGCUGGGAUAAAUAUGUAUCAGCCUUCUAAAAGUAAAAGCCAAUGGGUGGAAACUUACAGAUUCAAACUCUUCAGUGUUUAAAGUGGGGUUAUUGAAGCAGGAGGGAAAGUUGCUGAAUCACAGCUUAAUAUUCAUGCAAAUUGCUGUAUGUCUCAGACACGAGUGUCAAAUGUCUUUUCCUCUUUAAAAAAAACUAUUAAAUAGGUCUGAAGGCUGUGGCUUUGAAGAAAAGAAGUUUUUCAUUGUUAUAAACUAGUUUGUCUUGGUGCAGUAACUAUCUUGAUAACAUGACACUGUAAAGAUUUAACCAAAAGAUGCAUUUUUCUCCACCAGAAUAAACUAGAAUCUAGUAUUAUAUUUAGAGAGCUUUUGUUUUUCUUUCUCCAAAUAAAGCUAUAGGAUUUUUAAGCCAGAGCUUCUAUGCUUCAGUGAUAAUGCUCAUGUAUGUAACUUCUCAUGUAUAACAUAACUUAAACAUGUGUUUCUAUUACCAGCAAUUUUAAUUAAAGGAAAACUUUAGAAAUGUUUGCAUGCUUUGUCAGCAAUCAUUUUUGUCCUUUUGUGGACAGGUUUGUUGAGAGAUUAACCAUUGUAGUUAGGCAUUAGCCAUAUGGUUUGAAAUAACCAUAAAGAAAAUAUUCACAAGCCCACAGUCCUGUAUUCAAGUCAAGUCCUUGACGUUUCUCAAUGAGCGAUGAGUUGAAGAGACAGAGGGGCUUUAAUGGAGUUGUGGGAAACACACAGCUGGGAAACAAAAGUUCCCGUGCCUAUGUGAUGGCUCCAGCAAUGUCACUUCACAUAUGGGCUUGACUUUGGACAGUUUCUGUUUAUUAUCCUUAGGGGUAAAUGCUACCACAUAAUUCUCUGGAACUUGUCUUGAUAUGGAUUCUGGGGUUCUUACGGAAGAUACCACCAGCACAGGACUUCUCAUUGAUCUUGAAAGUCAAGAAACCUCUUUUACUAAAGAGGCUCCGAGGCUCACUCUGGAAUCAAAGGGAGAUAGGCGAGAAUCUGCCUGCAAGCUGACUCCUUAGAGGGCAGAAAAAAAAAUCCCAGAGUUGCCCCCUUUACUUGUCCUUAGAGUGCAGUGUUGCUAGUAUCUUUACAGAACUUCAUGGAAAGUUUUCAUCCAUAAUAGAAAUUUAACAUUUAUGUUUACUUCUACCUUUGCCUUUCACAACAUCUGUUGUUUCUAUGUGAGACAUCCACACCCUUAUUUAAGUAGAUUCUGUAGAGUCCUGUGAGAAGCAAUACCCUGAAAGCUUCACCUUAUAAUUCUAACUGCACACUUUGGUUCAUACUUAAGCUUGGGAUAAACGUGCAGAUAUUUCUAUCUCCCUGGUAUUAUAUCAUACAUCAAACCUGGCACUAAGGGUAUGACAAGGCGGGUAGAGGGCAGACUGGACUUGAGGUGGAAUCUUAGAGAGGGGCAAAGUACUCUCUCUGUUUUUAUCUUGCCAAACUCUUCCAACUCAGCCUAUAAUCUAAGAGAUCCAAAGCCAUGAUUUCAACACACCCAACUCUAGAAAUGAAGGGCAAUUUAAUUCAGCUGUUGAUCUGGGCUUUCUAAUGUGCCAGCUGUCUCAAACCCACUUAGGGGAAGCUCCUGGAGUUUCCUGCACGGUCCCAGUCACUCAUCCUUCUCCCUAAAGUAGAUUUGUGAAGCAGGUUGCAGAGUUAGCCAGUUGCUUGCACAUUAUGGAUUGCCAUUCAGAGCUGCCUUUGCUGAAAGGCAAUCAAUUUCAUUUUGUUUGGAGCCAGAAGUGAUGAGUCCUCUGUCACUGUUGGAGCUUCAAGUCACUGGCCUUGAUAACACUUCUUAGGGAGCAUGGCACAUUUGUGAUGGGGGGGAUAUCAUUAUUUAAUAAGGCAACAAAAUGACUAAUAUAAAGUGAAGAAGACAAGGCAUUAAUGAAUACCAAUAUCUUGUGCUGUUCUGUCUCAUAUGCUUCAGUUCUUAACCAUCAGUGGGGUAGA